rnacentral:rRNA from 1 species
GACGAACGCUGGCGGCGUGCUUAACACAUGCAAGUCGAACGAUGAAGCCCUUUCGGGGGUGGAUUAGUGGCGAACGGGUGAGUAACACGUGGGUAACCUGCCCUGUACCCUGGGAUAAGCCUUGGAAACGAGGUCUAAUACCGGAUAUGACCUGCUCUCGCAUGGGGGUGGGUGGAAAGUUUUGGCGGUGCAGGAUGGACCCGCGGCCUAUCAGCUUGUUGGUGGGGUGAUGGCCUACCAAGGCGACGACGGGUAGCCGGCCUGAGAGGGCGACCGGCCACACUGGGACUGAGACACGGCCCAGACUCCUACGGGAGGCAGCAGGUGGGGAAUAUUGCACAAUGGGCGAAAGCCUGAUGCAGCGACGCCGCGU